ACUGCAGUGGAGCUGGCAUGGUGGCUUUGGUUAUACUGUACUUCAAAGCGACUUGCUGUGGAGAACAAAGGCCAACAUUCCAAAACAAGUGUGCUGAAUUCAAGUCCUAUGGAGAGGAAGCCUCCACUGAACUUCAAAACAUACCAGGCAUUUGCAGUAUAAAGAUAAAAAUGAAAAAAAAAAAGUCAACUACUAAGUAAACACAGAUAACAGAAAAGCACUGAGGAGAUGGACUUAGUUUUACAGUCUAAAUGCACAAAGACAAACAAACAAAAAUCUACACGCUUCUGAAAUUCUGCUCCCAUCAGGAUCCUCGCAAGGGCCAGUUUUUCAGUUUGUAACAACGAUGAGUCCAGGGCAAUAUUUGGAGUAAUAAAUCUGGCAUGAAAAUUA